GGCUGCCCAAGGCAGAUGGAGGAAUGGAAACUGAGAAAGCAUCAUAGGCUCAUGUCUAACAACAUGAACAGACUCUGGAACCUCAGAAGUAAAAUGCAAAGGCGAGGACAGCCCAGGAGGAAGCUCCACUCCUGCCUAAGGACCCCAAAGCACUCAAACGCUAUCUUCUGAAGGACUUUGGGAGACAAUAGAGCUAUUGACAGAUCUGAAGUCUACAUCAUGGAACAGAAAUGUGACACUGUGGAUACCAGAGAGCUGGAUUACUUCACCCUUCCUCUGAUGAAUACUGAACAAGAAUUUUCCAG
rnacentral:lncRNA from 1 species